GACGAACGCUGGCGGCGUGCUUAACACAUGCAAGUCGAACGGAAAGGCCCUGCUUUUGUGGGGUGCUCGAGUGGCGAACGGGUGAGUAACACGUGAGUAACCUGCCCUUGACUUUGGGAUAACUUCAGGAAACUGGGGCUCAUACCGGAUAGGAGCUCCUGCUGCAUGGUGGGGGUUGGAAAGUUUCGGCGGUUGGGGAUGGACUCGCGGCUUAUCAGCUUGUUGGUGGGGUAGUGGCUUACCAAGGCUUUGACGGGUAGCCGGCCUGAGAGGGUGACCGGCCACAUUGGGACUGAGAGACGGCCCAGACUCCUACGGGAGGCAGCAGUGGUGAAUAUUGCACAAUGGGCGGAAGCCUGAUGCAGCAACGCCGCGUGCGGGAUGACGGCCUUCGGGUUGUAAACCGCUUUCGCCUGUGACGAAGCGUGAGUGACGGUAAUGGGUAAAGAAGCACCGGCUAACUACGUG
rnacentral:rRNA from 1 species